UCAAACUGAUGUCUCCUGCAUUGCAGGCAGGCUCUUUACCACUGAACCACCAGGGAAGCCCCAAGGCCCCCUGUAGGCAGGCUGAAGAAGAAAGCUGUACAGAAGAAUAAAGAAGCAAGUCUUAGCCAGUCCCCAUGGGAGACAACCUUUGAGAAAUUGAGGACCUUUGGGGCCAGGACUUCUCUUUAAAUGUCUAACACGGACAGAGUGAAAGGACAAAAUUUAUGUGUUGGGGAAUGCAUUUUGAUACAAGAUCCAGCUAUGGGAAAGGUUUUUUAAAAUAGACAUGGUGUGACACUAGUGGUAAGGAGUACACCAGGCAACGCAGGAGGCAAGAGAGACAGAGAUUCAACCCCUGGAUCGUGGAGACCCCCUGAAGGAAGGUAUGGGAACCCGCUGCACUGUCCUUAGCAGGAGAAUCCUGAGGCCCGAGGAGCCUGGUGGGCUGCCGUCCGCAGAGUCACAGAGGGUCAGACACUACCAGAGCGACUCAGUGUGCGUGCGCGCUAAAGUGUCAUGAGGGACAGAGAAAACACACAAUAGAAUGUCUAGUUUCUGAUUAUUUUCCUUGGCUGUUUAAGAUCCAGAGAAGAUGCACCUCUGCUUAGAAAAUCCCACAAAU